GUAGCGCGGUGGUCCCACCUGACCCCAUGCCGAACUCAGAAGUGAAACGCCGUAGCGCCGAUGGUAGUGUGGGGUCUCCCCAUGCGAGAGUAGGGAACUGCCAGACA
rnacentral:rRNA from 8 species